rnacentral:rRNA from 1 species
AGUGAACGCUGGCGGUAGGCCUAACACAUGCAAGUCGAACGGCAGCACAGUAAGAGCUUGCUCUUACGGGUGGCGAGUGGCGGACGGGUGAGGAAUACAUCGGAAUCUACUUUUUCGUGGGGGAUAACGUAGGGAAACUUACGCUAAUACCGCAUACGACCUACGGGUGAAAGCAGGGGAUCUUCGGACCUUGCGCGAUUGAAUGAGCCGAUGUCGGGUUAGCUAGUUGGCGGGGUAAAGGCCCACCAAGGCGACGAUCCGUAGCUGGUCUGAGAGGAUGAUCAGCCACACUGGAACUGAGACACGGUCCAGACUCCUACGGGAGGCAGCAGUGGGGAAUAUUGGACAAUGGGCGCAAGCCUGAUCCAGCCAUACCGCGUGUGUGAAGAAGGCCUUCGGGUUGUAAAGCCCUUUUGUUGGGAAAGAAAAGCAGCAGGUUAAUACCCCGCUGUUCUGACGGUACCCAAAGAAUAAGCACCGGCUAACUUCGUG